UGCAGUCGAACGAUGAAGCCCUUCGGGGUGGAUUAGUGGCGAACGGGUGAGUAACACGUGGGCAAUCUGCCCUUCACUCUGGGACAAGCCCUGGAAACGGGGUCUAAUACCGGAUAACACUUCCGUCCUCCUGGACGGUGGUUAAAAGCUCCGGCGGUGAAGGAUGAGCCCGCGGCCUAUCAGCUUGUUGGUGAGGUAAUGGCUCACCAAGGCGACGACGGGUAGCCGGCCUGAGAGGGCGACCGGCCACACUGGGACUGAGACACGGCCCAGACUCCUACGGGAGGCAGCAGUGGGGAAUAUUGCACAAUGGGCGAAAGCCUGAUGCAGCGACGCCGCGUGAGGGAUGACGGCCUUCGGGUUGUAAACCUCUUUCAGCAGGGAAGAAGCGAAAGUGACGGUACCUGCAGAAGAAGCGCCGGCUAACUACGUGCCAGCAGCCGCGGUAAUACGUAGGGCGCAAGCGUUGUCCGGAAUUAUUGGGCGUAAAGAGCUCGUAGGCGGCUUGUCACGUCGGUUGUGAAAGCCCGGGGCUUAACCCCGGGUCUGCAGUCGAUACGGGCAGGCUAGAGUGUGGUAGGGGAGAUCGGAAUUCCUGGUGUAGCGGUGAAAUGCGCAGAUAUCAGGAGGAACACCGGUGGCGAAGGCGGAUCUCUGGGCCAUUACUGACGCUGAGGAGCGAAAGCGUGGGGAGCGAACAGGAUUAGAUACCCUGGUAGUCCACGCCGUAAACGGUGGGAACUAGGUGUUGGCGACAUUCCACGUCGUCGGUGCCGCAGCUAACGCAUUAAGUUCCCCGCCUGGGGAGUACGGCCGCAAGGCUAAAACUCAAAGGAAUUGACGGGGGGCCGCACAAGCAGCGGAGCAUGU
rnacentral:rRNA from 1 species